rnacentral:lncRNA from 1 species
UGCUCUUAAUUUCCCCUAGUUUAAAAUUGUCUUCUAUUUUCUCAGAUCUCAGUCAGACCUGCCAAUCUGGAGCAAGAUGCCAUUGAGUGUGUCAAGAACUAGUAUCCAGUCAUCUAAAGAUAAUUGAAAAACUCCUGAGCAGUGAUAAAAAAUUUUCAGUGAUUGCUCUGAAACUUCUAACCGCAAUCGUAACUUUAAAUUAUGACCUUGCGAAAGAGAUUCUUUUGGAACUUCAAAUAACGGGGGACACGAUGGAUAACUUAGCGUCCAAUCAAAAAGUGCGGCCAUUUUUAUAGAAUUCAUUCUGAGUUUUAUCAGGAAGAACAGCUCAGCUUUGUUUUCCCUUCUUGUUAGCAAACCAAAAAAUAUGUUCAAUACUAUCAUCGUGGGAUUGGUUGUUGACGAAUGUGAGGAUGUUGUCAAGUUUUUAUCAACUGUGGAAAACUUUCUCAAAACAGUGCAAUUGGCUGAUAAUUUGAAGCUCAACGCCUUUCAGUCAUCAACUUUAGCCCACUUAGCUGAGUUGUAUAAAUGGCAAGGCCCGUCUGGUUUCAAAAAAUUCUUUAAGCCUGUCAAGACAGUCAAAAAAGCCAAACUUGAUCCGGUUGGCGAAGUUGACGAAAAUGAAAAAGGAGUCGUUCGUUCAAAAACUCAUGAAUUCCUAGAACUUUUGUGCACCUCUGAGCAGUAUGGUAUUGUAACCUCUGAUUUAGUUUUCAAAGCUGCUGUUGAUCAAACCAAUGGAUUUUUGAUUAAUUUUUGAAAAAUAAGGUAAUCCUUUAAAUUAGAUUAUGCAUGGUCUUGUUGAAAUUGUCAGGUUUGAAUUGCAUCUGGGACUCUGGAAGCAAAAUAUAUCUCCACACU